rnacentral:rRNA from 1 species
GGGGAAUUUUGGACAAUGGGGGCAACCGUGAUCCANCCAUUCCGCGUGAGUGAAGAAGGCCUUCGGGUUGUAAAGCUCUUUUGUCGGGGUNGAAACGGUUUUGGCUAAUAACCAAGACUACUGACGGUACCCGAAGAAUAAGCACCGGCUAAUUACUUGCCACCAGCCGCGGUAAUAAGUAGGGGGCGACCGUUAUUCGGAAUUNUUGGGCGUAAAGCGUGCGCAGGCGGUUUUUUAAUCCAGAUGUGAAAUCCCCGGGCUCAACCUGGGAAUGGCAUUUGGGACUGCAAGGCUAGAGUAUGGCAGAGGAGACUAGAAUUCCUGGUGUAGC